CACUAGAAGAUAGUUGAGGAAAGAGGGGAGAAAGAUGUAGUCACAUCAAAUACAAAACAAGGCAGAGUGGACACAGGGUUAAGGAUCAGGCCUGAGAAGUUGGCUCACUCACACCUUCCCUUUGAAAGGCAGAGUAGGCUGGGCGUGGUGGCUCACUCCUGUAAUCCCAGCACUUUGGGAGGCUGCGGCGGGCGGAUCACGAGGUC
rnacentral:lncRNA from 10 species